CGAGCGCAACCCUCGCCGUUAGUUGCCAGCAGGUUUGGCUGGGCACUCUAACGGGACCGCCGGUGUCAAGCCGGAGGAAGGUGGGGAUGACGUCAAGUCCUCAUGGCCCUUACGGGUAGGGCUACACACGUGCUACAAUGGCAGUGACAGAGAGCUAAUCUCAAAAAACUGUCUCAGUUCGGAUUGUCUUCUGCAACUCGAAGGCAUGAAGUUGGAAUCGCUAGUAAUCGCGGAUCAGCAUGCCGCGGUGAAUACGUUCCCGGGCCUUGUACACACCGCCCGUCACAUCAUGGGAAUUGGUUCUACCCGAAGACG
rnacentral:rRNA from 1 species